AGUAGUCAGACAUAAAUAACUCGUAUAUCCUCUGAAUAUGGCAGAGAGUAUCUACCGGAAACCUUAAAUUUCCGACUAUGAGUGAUUUUGAUAUACUA
rfam:Clostridium sp. 7_2_43FAA genomic scaffold supercont2.3, whole genome shotgun sequence.